AACGAACGCUGGCGGUAGGCCUAACACAUGCAAGUCGAGCGGACCCUCCGUGGGUAGCGGCGGACGGGGGAGUAACGCGGCGGAAGAGGCCCUUCUCCACGGGAUAGUCCUGGGAAACUGGGGGUAAUACCGUAAACGCCCCGCGGGUGCAAGAUACAACGUGCUAGUAUUAGCCGGGGAUGUAUGAGGUGGGUGGUGUGGUAAUGGCCUAUGAAGCCGACGAUCCAUAGCGGGUUUGAGAGAAUGAUCAGCCACACUGGGACUGAGACACGGCCCAGACUCCUACGGGAGGCAGCAGUGGGGAAUCUUAGCAUAUGGGGGCAACCAUGAUGUAGCUAUGCCGCGUGAGUGAUGAAGUUCUUAGGGUUGUAAAGCUCUUUCAGCUGGCAAUAUACUGACGGUACCCACAGAAGAAGCCCCGGCUAACUUCGUG
rnacentral:rRNA from 1 species